GAGUUUGAUCGUGGCUCAGAGCGAACGCUGGCGGCAGGCCUAACACAUGCAAGUCGAGCGGCCGUAGCAAUACGGCAGCGGCAGACGGGAUAGUAACACGUGGGAACGUACCCUUUGGUUCGGAAUAACGCAGGGAAACUUGCGCUAAUACCGGAUAAGCCCUUACGGGGAAAGAUUUAUCGCCGAAGGAACGGCCCGCGUCUGAUUAGCUAGUUGGUGGGGUAACGGCUCACCAAGGCGACGAUCAGUAGCUGGUCUGAGAGGAUGAUCAGCAUCACUGGGACUGAGACACGGCCCAGACUCCUACGGGAGGCAGCAGUGGGGAAUAUUGGACAAUGGGCGCAAGCCUGAUCCAGCCAU
rnacentral:rRNA from 1 species